AGCGGCGGACGGCUGAGUAACACGUAGGAACAUACCCCAAAGUGAGGGAUAAGCACCAGAAAUGGUGUCUAAUACCGCAUGUGAUCUUCGGAUUAAAGCCUUGUGCGCUUUGGGAAUGGCCUGCGUAUGAUUAGUUUGUUGGUGAGGUAAUGGCUCACCAAGACUACGAUCAUUAGCUGGUCUGAGAGGAUGAUCAGCCAGACUGGAACUGAGAACGGUCCAGACUCCUACGGGAGGCAGCAGUAGGGAAUUUUCCACAAUGGACGAAAGUCUGAUGGAGCAACGCCGCGUGCAGGAUGAAGGCCUUCGGGUUGUAAACUGCUUUUAUAUGUGACGAUAAUGACGGUAGCAUAUGAAUAAGGAUCGGCUAACUCCGUGCCAGCAGCCGCGGUCAUACGGAGGAUCCAAGCGUUAUCCGGAAUUACUGGGCGUAAAGAGUGCGUAGGUGGCAUAGUAUGUCAGUAGUGAAAGCGUGUGGCUCAACCAUACUCACAUUAUUGAAACUGCUAAGCUAGAGGAUGAGAGAGGUUAUUGGAAUUCCCAGUGUAGGAGUGAAAUCCGUAGAUAUUGGGAGGAACACCGAUGGCGUAGGCAGAUAACUGGCUCAUUCCUGACACUAAGCACGAAAGCGUGGGUAGCAAACGGAAUAGAUACCCCGGUAGUCCACGCGA
rnacentral:rRNA from 1 species